rnacentral:tRNA from 1 species
GGCGUAGUACUUUAUGUAAAAGGUCUGUUUUGCAUGCAGAGAUAGGGUUUUUGGGCCUCUAGGCCA